rnacentral:rRNA from 1 species
AACGUAGGACGCAAGCGUUAUCCGGAAUUAUUGGGCGUAAAGGGCGUCUAGGCUGCGUCUUAAGUUGGGCGUGAAAUCUUCUGGCUUAACCGGAAGGGUGCGUUCAAUACUGGGACGCUUGAGGGCAGCAGAGGGAGGUGGAAUUCCCGGUGUAGCGGUGGAAUGCGUAGAUAUCGGGAGGAACACCAGUGGCGAAGGCGGCCUCCUGGGCUGUACCUGACGCUGAAGCGCGAAAGCGUGGGGAGCGAACGGGAUUAGAUACCCCGGUAGUCCACGCCGUAAACGAUGGAUACUAGGUGUUGGUGGUAUUGACCCCAUCGGUGCCGCAGCUAACGCAUUAAGUAUCCCGCCUGGGGACUACGGCCGCAAGGCUAAAACUCAAAGGAAUUGACGGGGGCCCGCACAAGCAGCGGAGCGUGUGGUUUAAUUCGAUGCAACGCGAAGAACCUUACCAGGGCUUGACAUGCACGUGGUAGGGAACCGAAAGGGGACCGACCCUUCGGGGAGCGUGCACAGGUGCUGCAUGGCUGUCGUCAGCUCGUGCCGUGAGGUGUUGGGUUAAGUCCUGUAACGAGCGCAACCCUUGUCGCUAGUUGUACUUUUCUAGCGAGACCGCCGAGAAAACUCGGAGGAAGGUGGGGAUGACGUCAAGUCAGCAUGGCCUUUAUGUCCUGGGCUACACACACGCUACAAUGGCCGGUACAACGGGUUGCCAAGCCGCGAGGCGGAGCUAAUCCUCCAAAGCCGGUCUCAGUUGGGAUUGGAGUCUGCAACUCGACUCCAUGAACGUGGAGUUGCUAGUAACUGCAGGUCAGCAAUACUGCGGUGAAUACGUUCCCGGGCCU